UACGGAGGAUGCGAGCGUUAUCCGGAUUUAUUGGGUUUAAAGGGUGCGUAGGCGGGCUAUUAAGUCAGUGGUGAAAUCCCGGGGCUCAACCUCGGAACUGCCAUUGAUACUAUUAGCCUUGAAUUAUGUUGAGGUUGGCGGAAUAUAACAUGUAGCGGUGAAAUGCUUAGAUAUGUUAUGGAACACCGAUUGCGAAGGCAGCUGGCUAAACAUAUAUUGACGCUGAUGCACGAAAGUGUGGGUAGCGAACAGG
rnacentral:rRNA from 1 species